CACCGGCGUCCCCGAGUGGGAAUCACUUAUUAGGUCUAAAGCGCUCGUAGUCGGCUUUGUAAAUUUCUUGUGAAAUCGUGUCGCUUAACGGCACGGCGUGCAGGAAACACUGCAGAGCUUGGGACUGGGAGGCGUCAGAAGUAUUCCUUAGGGAGCGGUAAAAUGUGAUAAUCUAAGGAGGACUACCUGUGGCGAAGGCGUCUGACGAGAACAGGUUCGACGAUCAGGAGCGAAGGCUAGGGGGAGC
rnacentral:rRNA from 1 species